rnacentral:tRNA from 1 species
GCCUGGGUGGCUCAGCCGGUUAGGCAUCCGACUUCAGCUCAGGCCAUGAUCUUGCAGUUCGUGGGUUCAAGCCCCGCACCAGGCU